rnacentral:lncRNA from 1 species
UUUUUUUUUUUUGGACGGUCACCGGGGGGACGGAAUCCCCACCUAAAUAUAUUGCUCAAAAGGCUGCCAAAGCCAAGAGUCGCCCCAUAAGCUUUGGCUGAUCUAGUUUAUAAGGAAAACCGGAUCGAAAACCUAAACAAGUUGACCGCGUUUAUGAGGGAAACCGGGCCGAAAAUCGUACAGGUAACAAGGUUACAGAAGAAGACAAAAAAUAAUUGACGCCCAGGAGAAGACACGACUUACUAGCAUGCAGAAAGACCAACGCCACGAGAGACGCAAGUAGAUGUGGGGUGUUGUUCAGGGAUCCCAAUGCCAAGACUGUGCAAACAACCUAAGCACCACACCGGCGUGCGUACCGAGCCUCACGACACAACAGAGGAUCAUCCAUAACCAACGAGUGCCAAACCAUAACACGAACCUUGACUGGGAGAUCCGCCACGAGCGAUCGAGACGAUUAGCAGGUUGGGGAGGCAUCAUUGCGUCAUCAUUGAGCAAAAGUGAACCAAGACAACACCAAGAGCCCGAAGCUCACCGCAGCACAACGACAACCAUGGGAGGGUCUUGAGCAUGCACAACAAUAGUACAGAGACCACGCGAUGGACAGCCAAAGAGAAAUCACAUGAAGAACACACCAACAUGGAUGACACACUAAAUGAUGGGCAUGGGCGGAUGGAUGGUGGCGAAGGGCUCGACAAGGAGGCAAUGUUGGCGACGGUUUGGGGAGGACGGGCGUAGACAAGUGGGUUGAAGCAAAAUGGAAAGGUCACACACAAUGCAGAGAAGAAGUUCACCAUACAGAUAUGAAGUUGCAAACCGCGCCGUCGACAUGGAGGAGAGCCCAAACCAAGCAGGUACAGCUCAAAGACCACACCUCCAGGAAGGAAAGCGACACCGGAUUGGCGCCGCCGUGGUCAGCUGACACAUGGGUCAGCAGGGAUUUCUCCCAAAGCUAGUACCAAAUCAAGAUCCCAAACCAAGCUGUACAACUCAAAGACCACGCCUCCAGGAAGGAAAGCGACACCGGAUUGGCGCCACCGUGGUCAGCUGACACAUGGGUCAGUAGGGAUUUCUCCCAAAGCUAGUACCAGAUCAAGGCUGACGUCGUCAGAGCAGCUCCGACAGCCGAAGCAAUGCAAAUUAACGACCGACGGGCCACCAUCCAUAGGGGUCGAAGGAGAGGUAGGCGUGAGGUGAUGGAGAGUCGAGGAGCCGGCUGGGGGUGGGGUAGCACGCAAUGGAGCGCAGGGGUGUAGACGGCCAGGUCGGACACUGCACAUGGCAGAUCCGAUGCACGCGUGCUUGGUCGUCGAUGGAGGGGACCUCAAAGGCACAACCAGCCGGCGUAGGUACUCCGGCCUCGCCCAAGCACCAGAACCAGCGCAAGCACUGGGGAUGAAGUAGAGCAAAGGAGGCCGGGCUGCCACCCCGCACCACCCAGGCAGGACGAGCAGGCAGACCAAGACUCGCACAAGGCGGGGAGCAUGGAUCCCGCAGUCGUGGCACACCGGCCCGGAGCAGAGGAGGGUCGACGCGGAGGGUGGCGACGCAGGUCGAGAGCGGCGAGCACCGACCGGAUCUGAACGGUGGAGGACGCCGACGGCCACGGUGAAAGUGGACGUUGCGCGGCAGCGCGAGAUGGGGCGAGGCAGUAGUAGGGAGGUGGUGGAGCGUCGGCGCGCAACAGGGCCCGGAGCACGCCCGGAGAGCUGAGGACGAGAUGGAUCUGGAUCUGGCGAGUGGAGAUGGACCGGGGAGGGUUGCGGCCGCGCGCUGCGUGCGUCCUCGCCGCCGCCGUCAGCCGCUGGGCUUUGCCCUUAGGCUUCCUCCAGCGAUGGCGAGUAGGGAAUGGGCGGCGCGGUUGCUCCCUGUUGUUGGCGGCGGCGGGGGCCUCCGGAGUCGCGAGAGCGACCCGGGAGGCAGCGGGCAAAACAAAUAAAAUUAGUGGUCCAAAAUUUAAAAACAGCCUUUUGGAGCAUCGUUUUUUUUCCAAAGCAUUAUGUAUAGUAUUUUUUAUUCACAAGUGAAACACUAAGCAACGUUUGUCAUACAAGAAACUCAGUCACCCAAAAAAAACACCCGCAAAAAAAAUACAAGAGACUCUUAUAUUUCUCUGCACGCUCUUAUAUUUCUUUACGGACGGAGUAUUAAAAAGAAAUACAUCCAGCAAGCUACAACCUGUGCAAACGCGUAGGAUUUCAUUUUCCGCUAGAACUAGGUUCUCACGUAGUGUGAGAGAUCCAAAGACGUUAUCUACUCCCCGGAGCACCACCUGGUCAGGCCGGUUGCCAUCUUGCUACGCCAUGUCGACAUCGGCAACGCAUCACGGCAUGCGCACUACGGUAAUCAUGCUCAAAUUAUAUCUGCAGCCAGCGUCUGACUUCCGUGUCAACCGAAAAGCUUGAGGAUUAAUUAAGAUUAGAGGACCAAAGGCCUUCAUGACCAGCCGGGCUAGCUAGCUAGCAAAAGGUGUGCUCUAAACAAAGCAUACUAGUGCUAGUAAUUAAUUGACCAAUUUGAAGUUUCAAAUCUACUCCACUAAUCAAUUCGGAUGGGAGGGACAAGUCAAAUCGCCACCAGGCUGGAUCAGUUGUAUAUUGGUUCAUUUUCAUACAAUUUCUUGAAGAGCAAGUGGGUACAAUUCUUGGGCAGCAAGUGGUUUUACAUAUUAUAAGUUUGUAAUCCAAGUGUGUGAUGGGCAACGACGACGGAUAUCCGGUGGAUCUUGUAUGACCAUCAGCUUGCAGCAUGCAUGAUCAAGUUGCUUAAUUUAUUUACUAUGUGUGCUAUUAUUGGAAAUAUAUAAACGGUUUAUGGGUUCGAUCGUGUGGAUCAGUAGAUGAAAUGUGCUGGUGAGUAUAAGAUUAGUUUGAUUGACAGUAUCUAUGUGAAUCUUUUUUGUGUGUGGGUAGGCAGUUAGUGUGCAAGAGGGGUUUAUAUUUGGAGAGCUGUUCAAGCGUCUAGUUGCAACUUGACCAAUACUAUAAAUAAAAUUGAGAUAAGCCUUAUAAACCGAAAAGGAGGGAGUAUUGCUCAUGCUAAUCUACAGCAACAACAAAAGAGAUCAGUGUGCGGGAACCAUGGACCUGGAUUCCUAGGCAUGACUGGACAGCUAGAUGCUCGUGUACACAGGAUGCUAUGGUACCUUUAGUUCUGAAUCACCUCUUUCUUGAUUUCUCCUUUUGUCCCAAUUUCACGACCAGGUUCAUUCAAGGUUAAUUUUAUACUCUCGCUGUUCCAAAAUAAAUGUCUUUGAUGUAGUAUAAUUUUAAAAUGUACUAUAUCAGAAACACUUAUUUUGGGAUUGAGAGAGUAAUAAAUAUGCUUGGUAGUAUGAUUGUCAAGUAAACGAGACCAGUGGCGGAGUGUGGCAUCAAAUGAAGGCGUCUUCAUGUCUUUCUCCUUCUUGGGGGCAUCGUGUUGGAGCCGGCUACGACUGAAACACCGGGGGAUGGCGGCAUCUUUGUCGCGUGGUUAGCUGGGGUAGGGCGUUAGUUUUUGUUUUUGGCAAAGAUGAUGGCGUUGAGUGGAGCUCCGGUCGCGGCGUGGACUUCGGUAGCCGGUUCUUCCCGGCGUCUCCAAGGUGCUCUUUCAUGGAUUGCUUGGUUGCUUUUUAGUCGGAGCUGCGAUGGAGCUGGUUCGGGUGAUGACGAUGACAGGCACUCGGUGGUCAUUGGUAGAGGGCACGGUCAGCGCAAGUCAUGCAUAUUUUCCUUGUGAUGGUCGUCGUCAAAGUUGGAGAUGUCGGUUGGCUGCGCGUGUGACUUUCCAUUGACAUGUGUCGUCUUGGCUUCUGCGCAGCUGUUUGCGGGUUGGCCUCGAUGAUAGAGCUCUAUGGUAAUGCCGGAGUCGCCAGUUCGAGGUAAUCGGUGAUGACGAUGACGCUUGCGACUCCUCGGCGGAUGUCUUUCUUCUUUGCAGCUUUGUGUUCCAUGUCGGUGCCCAGGUUAGCCGGUGAUGCCUAUAUCAUGUGGGUUGGGUUGUAUCGGUCUUAGCCCGAUUUUCCAUAAAUUAACCAGACAAUUAUGUUCUUCUUAAUCAAUGAAAAUGCAAAUCUUUAGCCUUGUUUCAAAAAAAAAGUAGGAAGGGGCCAAUGGACCUCAUAUUUGGCGCGCUAGGCGCACACACCCAUUCCCCGCACCCUUCUGGACUAGCUCAUGUGUAGGCACCCUAUUUUUUCGUUUUUGUUUCUUUUGUUUUUCUUUUUCCCUUUAAAUAAUUUGAGAUUUAAAAAAAUCCAUAAUUUUUUUGAAUUUAAAAAAAUGUUCAAAAAAUCAUAAAAUGCUCAUGGAUUCAAAAACGUAUUCAUGAUUUCAAAACAGAUUAAUGUAUGUUCUGAAUUUUUUUCAGAAUUUUGAGGAAACAGAUGCCCACAAAACAAAAUUCAUCAUGAUUUUUAAAAUAUAACUAAUUAUUCAAAAAAUGUUUGUGACUUUGAAUAAAAUGUUCAUGAUUUUUUUCAUGUUCGCAAAAUUCAAAAUAUGUUCAUGAGUUACAAAAAAGUUCAUCAAUUCAAAAAAUGUUCAUGAAUUCGAAAAAUGUUUGUAAAAACUUAAAAAAAUGUUCGUUAAUUAAAAAAAUUGUUCCCCUAUUUCAAUAAUUGUUCGUCAUUUAAAACAAUUUUGCUGACCAAAAAAAAGUUCACGAGCUUCAUAGAAAAUGUUCAUGAUUUUGUAAAACAAUCUUUGCAAAUUUAGAAAUGUUCACAAUUUUGCAAACGUUUAGCAAUUUGUAAAAAAUGUUCUUGAAUUUUAAAAAUGUUUGUACAUUCAAAAAUGUACAUGAUUUCAAAAACUAAGAAAAAGGAAAGAAAAUGUAAUAUAAAAAUAAUAGAAAAAAAGAACAUGAAAAUUGAGGAAUAGAAAAAACGAAUAUGAAAAAAUAAAGAAAAGAACGAAAAUAAAAAGGCAGAAAAAACUAAAAGAAGAAACAGUUUGGGAAGGUUCUAGAAACUUCCCAAAUCUGGAAAGAGCUAAUGCGCCGGCCCAAAGUGUACGUAGCUGCAGGGGGUACGUGCUUGGUUGCUAACUAGUGAUCUAUGCACGAAAUAGGAUUCCCGGUGCGAAUUGCUAAUCCCAUAGUGGUAAUACUGGGCCAUUGCCCAAUAUGGUCCCAAGAAGCUUCGGUGCUAAACGAGAUCACAUUGAGAUACUCAAAUGUAAACGAGAUCACAUCGAGUCCUCCUCGUUGGCGCCUUAUCCGCCCCUUUUGCCUGGUGGCGCUCACGUCCAACUCACUUGGGCCGACGCGUUUAGCUGGAUUAGAUUCUUUCUUUCUAUCGCUUCCGUUUGAAAAAAAAAACAGCUCGCUCCUUCGAUUUAAUUGACUGUUGAUCGGUCAACUAAGUUGACCGUGUUGACCAUUAAACUUUUGACUGCUUCAUUGUUGAACAUGUUGACUUUAAAAAAACAUCAAGUUUGAAAAAAAAGUUCCUUCAUUUGAAAAAGUUCAUCGAUUUUGAAAAAGUUCAUCAAAUUUUCGAAAAAGUUCAUCGAUUUGAGUAAAAAUUUCACCACUUCUAAACAAAGUUCAUUGAUUUGAGAAAAAGUUCAUCGAUUUUGAAAAAAAGUUCACCAAUCGGAAAAAACUUCAUCGGAUUUCAAAAAUGUUAAUCAAAUUUGAAAAAUAGUUCAACGAAUUUGGAAAAAAAUUCAUCGAAUUUUAGAAAGGUUCAUCUAAUUUGAAAAAAGUUCAUCGCAUUUGAUAAAAGUUCGUCGAUGUUGAAGAAAAAGUUCAUGAAUUUCAAAAAAGUUCUUCCAACCCAGGAAGAAGAAAAAAGAAAAAAAGAAAAAAAGAAAAAAACGAAAAAGAAAAAUAGAAUGAAGUAAAAGGCAUAAAAUGAUGAAAGUAGCACAGCCAGCUGGAGGUGGCACGGUGGUUAUCACAGCUUACAGUUAAGCUGGACGUCUCAGGUUCGGAUCAAAGCACUAGCAGAUUUCCUUCGCGUUUUGAAAAACAAAGGAAAAAGGCUAGAUGGGCAAAGAUGACUCGAGGAGCAAAACCUCUAGUCGACGCUCGAGGCUCCUCCACCUCAUCCACUCCCUCUUGUCAUCGCUAGGGAUUGCCGCUUGACAAUGGUCGCGAGGAGUUUUAAUUGUUGGUGACUCGAGGAGCAAAACCUCUAGUCGACGCUCGAGGCUCCUCCACCUCAUCCACUCCCUCUUGUCAUCGCUAGGGAUUGUCGCUUGACAAAGCCCAUGGUUGACGAUGGUCGCGAGGAGUUUUAGUUGUUGGUGGUCUGCUUUGUGGCUAUUUCAAGAAGACACCAUAUAUUUCUUGCGUCGUACUAGCUGGCGCUGGUCUGGGAAGAUCCAUUUUCAUUUAUUUUUAUGAACACUAAAGAUCUAUUUUCAAGAUGGUGAUUGGAACAUCGCUUCAUGUUCAGGUGAAAGUGCGAUUACCCUUUAUCUAUUGGACCUAGCAAUGACACAUUUGCGUCGUUAGUUUGCUGAAGGCAUUUGUCUUGGUGACGAUGUUCUAGUCUUCAUUGAUUGGACACAUCAUCCGCAAUGAGUAAUUUUAACAUGCUCCUUCUUACCCCCUCUUUUCACAUGGGAGGUAAAAAGGUAAGAGUUAAUCAGGCCACUACUUAAUUAAAUCAACGGCUCAGAUCUAUUAUAUACUCUUACCUUUCAUGUGAGGUAAGAGAGAGCAUGCUAAAAUUUGCCGAAAUGAAAACAUUUGUCAUAGGUCCUAACUAUCACAGGCAGAAUUCGGCAACAUCAACGAGAGUGUUGUCUUCUUUCUUAAAAACCUUGUUUCAGAAGAAUGAUGAUUUAGUCGUUGUAUCUUUUCAUAAUUUUGCCAUUCUUGUGUAUUUGUUGUACUCGUACUCUAAUUGUUGAUGAUUUGCCCUUAUUGCCCUGCAACAACUCUAAUAAAUAUUUAGUUGUGUGUAUUCGCGGAUGGAGGGGUCGGGAUAUAGGACCUUCCUUUUGGAAAAAGAAAAGCUUGGUAGCAUUAUUGAUGGGUCAGUAUGAUUUCGAUAGUCCGGUUGCAACUUGAGCAUUGUAAACAUGAUGCUGCUCUGGGUGCUCUGCAACAAAGCAAAAAAAAACUGAGAACUCGAUGCACAAGUGUGCCAUGGACCUAGAUUCCUAGAUAUGAUUGGACUACUGUCUACUGGAUGCUCAUAUAUAUGCAGGGAAGAUGCUGGGAGCCUUUGGUUUUCCAUCACUUGUUUUUCUUUCUCCUUUUUGUCCUUUGUCCUUUCUUUCAGGUCCAGGGUAUGAUGAGAGGAUAAAAGAGAUGCCAAACCAAACUAUUUCCACUGGGAUAAUUAGGAAUGAAAGACAAGACAAAUGACUUUUAAAAACUCAAUUAAUCUGAUGGAAAACUAAAAAGGAUGGAAUAAAAUGCACUAAUAAUUUCAAAAUAACGUCUUGCAAGUGGCACUACACCUCUCUGGCUCUCUCUUAUACAGUCGCCAGCCGCUCGUGUGCAUCCUACGAAAGUAUUUUUGUUUUGCGAGGGAGCAUCCUACGAAAGUUGUCUCAAGUUUUCGUUCGUUUUUGGUUUGUGCCACAUAACAUGACCCCUCGAUCGGUCUCUCUCGAGGAAGAGUCGCCGUCACCAUGGUCCGUGUCCAUGUCCUUAUCUUAAUCAUCACCGGUUCAGCUAUUUUGUAUCAUACCGCGUGCAUUUUUUUUCUUCAAAAAGAGAGGAGCUCCCUCGGCCUCUCCAUCGAGUGAUAAUCGCAUUUGUUUAUGUAGUAUCUUGUCAUGGUCCUGCUUUAACUUAAAUAAAAUCAUGCCUGUGUGCAUCAGUCGAUGCAAAGGCAAGAAGAUAUGACGUUUCUUUAGAAUGAUUCUUGAUAGUAUUUCCUAUGGAUCAGUAUAAUUUGAUAGUCUUGUUGCAAGUUGAGCCAUGCAAAUAUGAUUCUCUUACUACCAUUUACCUAUGCUGAUCCGCAACAAGGGAAAAGAACUUGGUUCACAAGUGCACCACGGACCUGGACUACUGCAUGCUCGUACAAAAAAAGAUGCUAAAUGCUUUGGUUUUCCAUCGCAUUUUCUUGCUUUCUCCUGGUUGUCCUCUUGUCCUUUCUUUUUAGUCCAGGUCAGUCAAGAUUAAUUAUGCUAAUUAAUACAUAGUGUGAUGGAUGAAUGGAGAUGCCAAAGCAAACUAUUUUAGGCCCUCUUUGAUUCGUAGGAUUCUCAAAAUGCGGGAAUAUGAAAAAUAAAAGAUUGAAGUGGCAAUGCCCACUUGAAUCCCAUAGGAAUAGCACACAGUGUUUUAUGCCGCAGAAAAAACAAAGAAAGUGAAAAAAAAUGUUGGAGUGGAUGGUAGAUUUUCAAUGAAAUGUACUCCCUCCGUCCGGAAAUACUUGUCGCACAAAUAGAUAAAAUUGGAUGUAUAUAGAACUAAAAUACGUCUAGAUACAUCCAUUUUCCCGACAAGUUGUUCCGGACGGAGGGAGUAGUACGUAUGAUUUCAUAGGAAAAAAAUUCCUAUACGAAUCAAUCCUAUGAAUCAAGCGACCACUGUAGGGAAAAUUCCUAAGGAUUAUAACUCUCCAAAAAUCCUAUGAAAUUCCUUUGAAUCAUAUGAGAAUAUACGGUUGAAACAUGACCAGUGCGCGGAUAACUAGGAGAUCAUAGACAGGGUUGAUCGCCCAAAAUAGCAACUGUCAAGUUGCACUUUAAUGGAACACGUUUCAUUUGUACCAACAUUAUUUACAAAUCAAAAUUUGAAAAAAAUAAGUUCCAAAUCUACCGAAUAUUUCUGAUCGUUGUACAUUUUUUAAGUUCCUAACAAAAUGUGAUGUCACUUUUCAAGAAUAUUGAUGUUUUCCCAUAGUUAUUUUACUUUUCUGACCUCCCUCACCCCCUAAUGUUAGUAGGAUGGAAUGUGAAGUUAAAAAAAAGGAUGCAAUGUGCACGAAACCACAACCACUUUAGUAUCAAAACUGUUGUCCUCGAGCAAGCCAAAAGUUUUUCUUUGAGAAACACAGCACAGCACAGACUACGCACACACACUCACCCUUAUAAACACACGCAUGUAUAUCCUACACCUACAAGGGUCUGAGNNNNNNNNNNNNNNNNNNNNNNNNNNNNNNNNNNNNNNNNNNNNNNNNNNNNNNNNNNNNNNNNNNNNNNNNNNNNNNNNNNNNNNNNNNNNNNNNNNNNNNNNNNNNNNNNNNNNNNNNNNNNNNNNNNNNNNNNNNNNNNNNNNNNNNNNNNNNNNNNNNNNNNNNNNNNNNNNNNNNNNNNNNNNNNNNNNNNNNNNNNNNNNNNNNNNNNNNNNNNNNNNNNNNNNNNNNNNNNNNNNNNNNNNNNNNNNNNNNNNNNNNNNNNNNNNNNNNNNNNNNUCACUAGUAGAAAAAGGGUCAAAUGUGAAGCACAAUAGUGCCGGUUGGAAUUUCAGCCGGCACUAAUGUGUACACUAGUGCCGGUUCGUGGCGGCGAUCAAUAGCACCGGUUCGUGGCGAACCUUUAGUACCGGUUCAUGCCACGAACCGGUACUAAAGAGGCUGUGUCAGCCUGCGGUCAGGCUAUGGCCCCACCAUCACCAUUUAGUGUCGGUUCGUACCACGAACCGGUACUAAUGAGGUUAUGGCAAGCUGUUUUUUAGUCCCACCUCGCGAAGUGAGAGGGACUAAGAGCGGUUUAUAAGCCCUGAGUGCAGAGACGAUGAAGAAGAGGCUCAAUGCUCACGUUGCUUAGCUUCAAGCCUUCAGGAAUACUGUAGACUGCAUGGAGCUAUGCGCAGUGCAGUUUAUACUAUUCCAAAAGGCUUGAAGCAAAUUAACGAGCAUUGCACCUCUCUUUUAUUUUUAAUAACUUAUUACAACUCCGGACUUCUUCUGUUAUGGCAAAAACUAAUUGCACGUCGAUAUUUUUUUUUAAGUUAUAACUCUAGACUUUGACCAUCAAGUUUUGCAGAAAAGAAAAAAUAGCAGAAAAGAAGAAAAACUAUAGCUGAAAAGAAAAAAAACAAAAUAAAAAAACUACUCAGAAAUAAAUAGAAGAAAAUAAAUAUAGCAGAAAAGAAAAAACUACUCAGAAAUAAAUAGAAGAAAAAAUAAAGCAGAAAAGAAAAAAAAUAUUAUAUUUGCUAUUUUCAAUCGUUUACAAAAUGACCAUGAAAUUAAAAAUCACUACAAAAUGAACUCUGAAAAUGUUGAAUUUUGGCAAACUAGAUGAAAAACUACUCACAAAUAAAUAGAAGAAAAUAAAUAUAACAGAAAAAAAUUAUACAAAAAACUACGCAAAAAUAAGAAGAAGAAGAAGAAGAAGAAUAAGAAGAGGAAGAAGAAGGAGGAAGAAGAAGAAGAGGAAGAAGAAGGAGAAGAGGAAGAAGAAGAAGAAGAAGAAGAAGAAGAAGAGGAAGAAGAAGAAGAGGAAGAAGAAGGAGAAGAAGUGGAAGAAGAAUGUUGGGGUGCUGCCCUGUGGGCCUGCCAGACCUUGGGUGUGCAAAUACAUGCCCAGUAGGGCCAGCAGGCUCACAGGUAAAGUUCGAAACGGCAGCCGCGGCUGGGUUUAUAAAUCAGUGCGACAUUUCUUUUUUUUAAGUUAUAACUCCAGACUUUGACCAUCAAGUUUUGCAGAAAAGAAAAAAUAGCAGAAAAGAAGAAAAACUAUAACUGAAAAGAAAAAAUAGCAGAAAAGCGCACCGCCAUUAGUACCGGUUGGUGGCUCCAACCGGUACUAAUGGGUUGUCAUUUAGUACCGGUUGGAGCCACCAACCGGUACUAAAGGCCCAGUUUCCCGCCGCUUGGGCUGGCCAAAAUAGGCCUUUAGUACCGGUUGGUGGCUCCAACCGGUACUAAAGGCUCCCCCUAUAUAUAUGACACUUACAAAAAAUCAGUUAUCUCGUCGCCGCUUCGUUCCACUUCUCGCGCGAGAGAGUCUCGAUCUCGACGACGACGCCGACGCCGCCGCGCCGCCGUGUCGUCGCCCUCGCCGCCCCCGCCGCCCGUCAUCGUCGUCNNNNNNNNNNNNNNNNNNNNNNNNNNNNNNNNNNNNNNNNNNNNNNNNNNNNNNNNNNNNNNNNNNNNNNNNNNNNNNNNNNNNNNNNNNNNNNNNNNNNNNNNNNNNNNNNNNNNNNNNNNNNNNNNNNNNNNNNNNNNNNNNNNNNNNNNNNNNNNNNNNNNNNNNNNNNNNNNNNNNNNNNNNNNNNNNNNNNNNNNNNNNNNNNNNNNNNNNNNNNNNNNNNNNNNNNNNNNNNNNNNNNNNNNNNNNNNNNNNNNNNNNNNNNNNNNNNNNNNNNNNNNNNNNNNNNNNNNNNNNNNNNNNNNNNNNNNNNNNNNNNNNNNNNNNNNNNNNNNNNNNNNNNNNNNNNNNNNNNNNNNNNNNNNNNNNNNNNNNNNNNNNNNNNNNNNNNNNNNNNNNNNNNNNNNNNNNNNNNNNNNNNNNNNNNNNNNNNNNNNNNNNNNNNNNNNNNNNNNNNNNNNNNNNNNNNNNNNNNNNNNNNNNNNNNNNNNNNNNNNNNNNNNNNNNNNNNNNNNNNNNNNNNNNNNNNNNNNNNNNNNNNNNNNNNNNNNNNNNNNNNNNNNNNNNNNNNNNNNNNNNNNNNNNNNNNNNNNNNNNNNNNNNNNNNNNNNNNNNNNNNNNNNNNNNNNNNNNNNNNNNNNNNNNNNNNNNNNNNNNNNNNNNNNNNNNNNNNNNNNNNNNNNNNNNNNNNNNNNNNNNNNNNNNNNNNNNNNNNNNNNNNNNNNNNNNNNNNNNNNNNNNNNNNNNNNNNNNNNNNNNNNNNNNNNNNNNNNNNNNNNNNNNNNNNNNNNNNNNNNNNNNNNNNNNNNNNNNNNNNNNNNNNNNNNNNNNNNNNNNNNNNNNNNNNNNNNNNNNNNNNNNNNNNNNNNNNNNNNNNNNNNNNNNNNNNNNNNNNNNNNNNNNNNNNNNNNNNNNNAUACUUACUUUGAACUAGUUGAAUUAAUAUAACUAGUUUAUUUUUAGUAAAUGUUUAGUUGAACUAGUUGAAUUAAUAUAUAGAACUAGUUUAUUUUUAGUAAAUGCUUAGUUGAACUAAUUGAAUUAAUAUAACUAGUUUAUUUUUAGUGAAUGCUUAGUUGAAUUAAUAUAAAUAGUUGAAUUAAUUGAAUUAGUAAGUGUUUAAUGUUUCGCCUAAUAUGAACAUAGGAAAUGUCGUCUGACGACGGAAAAAAAUUUAUUAUGUGCGAAUACUGUGAAGACCAGCGCGGCCAAUGCGACAGAAAUUUCCUUGUUGAUGAUAGGCGAUUCAGCAUCAAGCUGGAUGAGACUUUCGAAUUCGAUAUAGUAAGUCACAACGACAAGUCUGUUUUCGUAAUUAAGCAUGACUUAUAUAUGCUUCAUUUGCCUGACUUAUAAUUUUUAAUUUUCACUAUUCUACUAGCGCAUCCCCUGCCAUGCAAGAAUUUUUGUCUUGGAUAAAAUAGGUUUCAAAGAUAUGGAAACUAUGGAGGUAAAGAGAGCUUACCUGAAAACUGAGCAUGAUGGUUAUACUUUCAACGUCAAAGUAUACAAUGCACACACGUACACCUAUUUUGAAUGCAAAACUUGGCAAGCACUAUGCAAGGCUUAUGCAUUUGAGCCUGGUAUGGUUAUCACCUUUGAUAUUCGUCCGGAAGAUGAUAUUGAAGGUAAUAGAGACAUAUGGGUCGAUGUGCAGACGUCUCCAGUUCUACCAUUAUGUGAGUUCUUCUCAACUAUAUUUUUGUCUUUGAUAUUGCUUAUUCAAAAAUAACUGACAACUAAUUUCUAUUGACAGCUUAUCUCCAUUCAACCAAACAUGUCCGGCGCUUGGUAGACAGGACCUACUACUGUCCCGGCGCUGAACUAAACUGCGAGGAGAUAAGUCAUUAUGUUUCAUGGCUUGAGGAUCUUCAUACUGUGAAGACAAAUUUUCUUCCUGCACUUAGAAAUGUUAGUACUCAAAACGUGCGACCAAUAAUGAUGGUAUUGAACUACGGUCACAUCUAUUUAGGAAUGAUGGUAAGAUAUUUACUAUUUGUCCUCAGUGCAUAUUUUGCAUACAUAUUUUUUGCUAAACUUUUCAUUGCUAAGUAUAUUAAUUAAGUAUUAUAGGAUGUUCUUCAACAGGGACUCCCGAUGACAGUUGUGCCUCAGGGGAUCGAGACUAAAGGUCAGAUGUCAAUUGUUAGCUUACGACCAAAAUAUCCUGCAUUGCACAUGAAUGCAUUCAAGAUUUCUAGAAGCGAUGAAUGCUUAAUAGUGAAAGAUUGGAGGAAAAUUGUUAAUGAUCGCAGAGAAGUACUAGGGGGCAGCAAUGAGAAGCGCAUCCCACUAUUAGGAGAUAGGUUCAUCGGCAUGCUCCAGUAUGAUCAAUCAGGAGAGCUAUACAUGUUCUAUGCUAUUUUACCAGAGAGAGAGUAGCUAGCAGGAGUGAUUUAGCUAGUUUUCCAUGCUGCUCUUAAUUAGUACUUGUCCUUUCAUGUCCGUGUUCUUCGUUCUGAACUUAAGUGAUUUGCUUUUGUGGUGUUAUAUAUGAACGCUUAUAAUAUCAUGACAAUCAUGUUGAACUCGAUGAUUGGUUCUACUAGAAAUUAUAUAUAUAUAUAUACAUAUACAUAUAAUAUAUAUAUAUAUAUGCAUAACGUUUACAAUGUGUAGUAUCGUAAAAUACCAGCAAACGAAAAAGAAUUAAAAUGGAAACACAAAAUUAAAUGAAAAAGAAUUCAUAAAACUAAAAAAAAAACAAACCUUAUAGUACCGGUUAGUCUUACCAACCAGUACUAAGACCAACCGGUACUAAAGGGUUCCAGGCCCCUGGAGCUGGCUCGUGCCACGUGAUUUCCCUUUAGCACCGGUUCGUGCUGAACCGGUACUAAGGGGGGGGGGGGCUUUAGUGCCCACACUUUAGUGCCGGUUAUGGAACCGGCACUAAAGGGCCUUACGAACCAGUGCUAUUGCUCGGUUCUGCACUAGUGGAGAGAGAGAGACCGAUCCUAUAGAUUUUGAGAUUGAUGAAAUCGCCUCGUAGUUGGCGGGCAUCCCAUGAUGCCGAACAAAUAGCACCAGAAGAAAGCCACGAAUACAUUCAACCCAGGACAUAUUUUUAUAGAAGAAGUCUACCCGGAUGAGAUCGCGAAAAUUCGCUCCCAACCAGAGUCAAACACCUGUCUGCAAGGAAGCGCCGCUGCGCCCUUGCCGCUGGGCUUCUAAACAUAAAAUUUUGAAGGUUUAUUGCUGGUAUUACCGCAGUAGUGCACCGCCCGUCCUAGGAAAGAAAGCUGCGUCACCUUUCCGAUUUGUGUUUUGUCUGUUCUUUGAGUUAGGUAGGGUAGGCGUGCGAGUGAGUGCGACACAGCAUGUGUCCUCUACCUCUACCUCUACGUACGUACCUCCGCGUAGCUAGCUAGCUAGCUAGAGAGGCGUCGCCCUCCCUCCCCACCGUCCGUGCCCGGUGCCCAUGUCCUUGUCCCAAUCGUCACUGACUCAGCUAAUUUGUACUCUGCUCACCGCACUGCAUGCACGCCUAGCACCUAGGCCAGCCCUGCCCACCACCGUGAAUGAUCAUCAUCCAUCCGCCGUCGCAACUGCACACAACAAACUGUUUGGCACAGCAUCCUCUCGCCAUCUCUCUUUGCUGCGUACGUGCGAUCCGUUCGUUCGUUGGUGACAGUCAGAGUUCCUGAAGAAAUAGAUAGGCAGAUCAAGCGACUCCUCUCUCACCAUUCAGAGUUGUUUCUUUCUCCUGUUAAUUUUCUUCCUCCGGCCAAAGGUGAUCACAUUCACAUCACGCACGCACGCAUGAUUGUCAUUUCUUUUUUUUCGUUUUCCCUGUUCAUUUUGUUCUUCCGGCCGGGGGUGAGUCAGUGCAUGAUCUCGUUAAUUAAUUAUUAGCACAUGCAAACGUUUGGAGGAGCAGAGACAUCAACGUAGAGGAGGCGCCAUGUAUUAGAGUUGGAGGCAUGAGCAAGGACACUGCUGGUGGAAAACACGGGCGUACAGGUACAGAGUUAAGGAACACACGACGGUUUUAUUUUAUUCAGCGCGCGCGCGGGCGGGCGCAUGCAGCGGCUAGUGAUGGUGGUGGUGGUGGUGGUGGUUGCUUGUCCAGUUGUCCUCCUCAUCCUCGUGCUCGCCUCGCCGGCCGGCCUCCUGGGCGCCGGCUCAGUUGCAGCUGCAGCAGGAGCAGCCGCAGGCCGUGCCGCACUUGCAGGUGGUGCAGUCGCAGCCGCCGGUCUCCCCGCCGGCCGUCUCGAACCCGCCGGAGCUCCUGCACAAUCACAACCAGGUCGGUCCAUCCACCACCACCAGUCAGUCAGUCAGUCAGUCAGAGAUCCAUGCAUGCACGUUCUCAGUUAAACAGAAGAGCUGAUUAAUCAGUCAGCGCGUACGAUACGUACCCCUUGUGGGAGGCGGUGGGCAUGACCAUGGCGGCGGCGCCGGCGGUGGCCUCAACGUCGGGGAACAUCUUGCACCUACGUUGCACAGGUACACAUGCAAACGGCGAGUCAGUACCUAGUCUGAAACGUUAAUUCACCCACACACGUCCAGUUUGGUUCAAGAUGUUUACCCGCCGCAGCCGUUGCCGCACUUGCAGCCGGCGCCGCAUCCGCAGUUGCCGCCGCAGCAAGACAUCCUCCUUUCCUUGGUGGGUGGUGGCGAGGGGAGGAAGGUGAGGACUGAGAGGAUGCUGCGACUGUGAGGAGUGAGGAGGCUGGUGUGCUUGGGGUGUGGAGGAAGAAGGCGAGGAGGGGGCCUAUAAAUAGGCGGGGCGGGGGGCGGCAAAGGAUGGAGGGGAGCGCGCGGUGCCCCACCGCGCCAGCUUUAAUCGGGAAGAGGAAUCAUCAUCAACGUCGACGUCGACGUCGUAGCAGCGGCAGUAGACGCCGGCGGCACGCAUGCGCCUUCCCUUUCUGCCCGCCCGCGCGCCUCUGAUCCCAUCACUGUAGCUGUAGGUAAAUAAAGUGGGAAUAGACGCACUCUAUCGACGCCACAGUAACAUGCACGCACCAUGAUCGCCACCCUACAGCAGUAGCACGAGCGGCACGCACUGAGUAGUAGCGUUUUGGAUCAGAUGAUGGAGCUGGAGAUAAGCAACAACCGACUGACGGGCUGGCCAGAGUUACAGUGGUUAAAUAAACAGAGGAAGGCUCGCUCGCCCGCCCGCUCACUCAAUGAAGCGCCAACAAUUCACUCACGCACAAAUGCCUUCACUGUGCCAGCGGCCAGCCUAGUCGUCUACAUCAUCAUCAGAUCAUGUCACUCACUUCCAACAGUUUCUACAGCCCAGAGCGUCGCAGGCGGAGGCGGACAACAUCUGUCAGCAGCAGCGUCUGCUUUCCCCGCCGCUCAUUUGUUCUGCCAGCGGUGAUAAUUACUGUCUUUGUCGUUCGGUUCACCGCUGCCGACGGUUUCGAUCGUGAGCUGGAAUUUCUUUUACCACCAUGCAUGUCUUCUCGAGCAAAACGUAAGCUACCUACUCUCUCUCUCUCUCUCUCUCUCUCUACUUGCUCGUACCGAAAAUUUCAUUUUUGAUAUGACAAGUGGAUGCGUGCAGCACUCGCCGGGGUUGCCGGUGGAAUCAAAACGUACGUGCGCCAUUGCUGGUAAAGAAAAAGCUUGGACGGAUGCAGAGGUGAGAGAAAGGAAGGGCGGCUCACGGGGGCGAGCACUGUCCAAUCCAAUGCCGAUCGUCUCAAGUUGCUUGCGGGGAGGAAACUGUACUACUAUUAGUACAAUUAUUGCCCAUGGAGCAUCACGCAACUGCUCCUCCGUGGUAGUGGAGUAGAGUAGAUAUAUUUGGAACAGUGUGAGGCGAGGCGAAUCGCCACCACCACCAACGCGUACUGUGCAGAUGAUCUCGCCCCCUUGCUUGGUCUGACUCAGCAGCACACGAUUCAUAAUUAUUGGCGCCAUUUCUGUCUAUUAUACACUCCCUCUGUAAACAAAUAUAGGCUGCAUGUCCCAUCUCCUGUAUGCAGCGGCGAAGAGAGCUGAAGCGGAGCAUGUUCAGGCUGAAGAACAGAGUUAGCGUCUCCCGGGUUCAGUUUCUGCGUCCUCUGUUCUGUCGGAACGGAAGGCAGCCGUCCGAUGCGCAAGCAACGGUUUGGAUAAGUUCCUGAUGAGGUUUACAGGGCUGGCUGGGGGAAGGAGUUUGGCAUCUGAAGAUCGGACCACGUUCUGAACCUGGGGUACCCUGGCAAGGACGAACUGUUCCCUCCUCCUUCGAUCUUCUAUCCAAAAUACACUAUACAUACUCACAAAAGAAUAUCCACCAUAUUAGGUACUCCCACCGUAACUUAUUAUAAGAUCUUCUUAGAGAUGUUGUAAAUGUCAAAAAAGCGCAUGUUAAGUUACGAAGGGAGUAUUUGAAAGGCAGUGUCCCGGCACUAUGAGAGAGGCAAAUUAUAGAAGUGGGGAGUAAAGUGUGGCGAAUGAGGAUGAUCUUUUUCUUUCCUCCAAACAACUUCUCAUUUUAGUUCUACGGAGCUCGGGACAAGAACAGAGACGUUUCACUUGGUCGAAUGAACGCCUCAACCCGACAAGUGAGAAAGUUGGACACUUUUAUUUUCUGCAACCAACAUUGGGACAUUCACUUGAGCAGCCACACCCUUCAUGCCCUCCCCUCCCCACUUUCGGAUCACUGCCCGCUUUUGCUUGCCACGGACCGAGGACCGAAGAGACCACCUUCAUAAAAAUUUGAGAACAUUUUGGUCAAGAUGCCAGGAUUCAAAGAUGUUGUCCAAAAGUCUUGGAACGAGGAGUCCACCCAUUCUGAGCCUUGUCAGAUUUUGUUCCAUAAGUUGCAAAGGAUGGGUUUGACAACUCAAAUCUUACAGUGAAAGUAUGUUCUUGACUUAAGGUCCAUCUUCACAUGGCCCUUAGGUGAUCCCACACCUUGAUAUGGCCAUGGAGAACCACACCCUGACCCGAAUGAAGCUGACAUUACACACAUGUUAAAGCGGAGGGCUAUCAGUCUCGCGGUGCUUGAGUGAACAAGGAAAAAGCAAUGCUCCAAACUCACAAAUCUCACAGAGGGCGACCAUAAUACUAGAUUCUUCCACUUGCAGGUCAAUGGAAGACGGCGGGAAAACAACAUUCACCGCCAUAAGCAUAACAACGAGCGGGAAAUGGGCACGAUGAGAAAGACGAAAUCACCUGAAGCCACUUUGCCAACACAUUGGGUCGGCCGCCGCGCGACCAAACGGACUUUCUUUGGGCAAACUAUUGACCUUCCAGGCUGCGCCUUUGCAGGUAUUGAUGCAUCAAUGGAGAAGGAGGUUGCGGUGGAUGUGACUAGCAUGCAUAGUGGGAAGGCCCACAGUCCAGAUGGCUUCACCGGGUUGUUCUUCAAAUCAUAUUGGGGCAUUGUCGCUCCGGACAUCAUGGUCAUUGUGUGCCUUUUCUCUGAUAGGAAAACCUCUAACUUCCAAUGGCUCAGCUCGACGAACAUUGUGUUUCUCCCCCAGGAAAUGCGGUGCCCAGGAGGUCACUGACAACAGACCCAUUAAUUUAAUCCAUGCCAUUAUGAAAAUCAUCUAAAAACUCUUGACUACCUGGUUGGCUCCCUUCAUGAGGCCUUUGGUCGCCAUUGCACAAAGUUCUUUCAUCAAGAAAAGAAGCAUCCAUGAAAACUUCAUGUUUGUGAAGAACUUUAUGAUCAUAUUGCAAAACCGCAAGAAGCCAACCCUUUUGAUUAAAUUGGAUUUCAAGAAAGUGUUUGACACUAUACGCUAGGACUACUUGCUUAACCUUUUGUGGUGUAGAUGACUCCUUGUCAAAUUUAUAGAUUGGGUUGCCACGCUCCUUUCCACAACCUCUUAUAGAGUUGUGCUCAAUGGAGUUCCUAGGGGCAGCCGUCGGGCAUGGGACGUGGUACAUGGGCGGAUAAUGUGUCGGUUUUAGGGGCUAGUGUUGGAGAUGCCCUCUGAACUGAACCUGUAGCACCCUGGCGAACCUGUCUUGUAUGUAUUGUGGAGCUUUAGGCCUAGUCUAGCUAGGCGUUGUUUAGGUUUUCGCCCGGUUUUCCUUGAUAAACCGAGUAUUAUCCUUUCUUUCUUCAUUUUAGCACUAGUCUUUAUGCGAUGCAUUCCGUCUUUGGCGUGUUCUUGUAAUACCCUUUCUAAUCAAUGCAUUUGGUAGCUCUCCUGCCAACAUUCAAAAAAUAAUAACAACCUUGCUCAAAAUGACCCAAAUUUUUUGUUCCCCAUAGUACCUUUGUUGCUUCACUACGCUUACAACAAGUUUGGACACUCAAAAUAAGUAAGGCUCUUAAGAAAGACUCUUUAGCCAUCUAUUAACAUAAAAACAGUUCCAAUUUAAGAUCCUUUGGAAACCGAAAUGUCUAAGUUGGAUUUAUGUUUUUUAGUUUCAUAACAGUCAUAGUUUGGAGAUAGAUAGGCAUCAAAAUUUGAUCCCGUCUGUUCAACUUUUCGUUUCGGGUUGUUCAUAAUGUUUGCGGUAGUGAGCUCCUGAAGGUUUUUGGGUUGUUUAUAAUGUCUGCGGUAGUGAGUCCUUCAAGCAAGAAAACCCUUUAGAGAAACUCCACAGGGGAUUGAAGCUUCUAUAUAGUAUGAAAAGAAAAGGUUAAUUUGUAGCCAAAAAUACAAAAGAAAUGUUUAAUAUCUAUACUUUGUUACUUCACAUUUUCUGACCAAAAAUAAUAAAGACAAAAAAAGAAGCGACUCCGCUGGGGAUCGAACCCAGAAUCUCUGGUUUCGUAGACCAGCGCCUUAUCCAUUGGGCCACGGAGUCGUUGUGUGAUUAAGUUGAACGUUGAUCCUACUUAAUUACAUACAGCUGACCGAAAUCACUGUGCGAGUAGCGAGCACAUUUGUGUCAUUCCUACCACGGUUUUGAAAAAAACUAUGCUAGUACCAAACUAGGCCAGCACAAAGGAUGUCAUAACUGAAGGAUGCAAACCACUCAGGAAAAUAAAUAAAUUGUUCAGAACAUGGACAUGAAGGAAAAGGGAAGAACAUUGGAGGGAACGGCUCCAAUUAUUAAACAGAGGGCGGAUGGCUUCAGUCAAGAAGUUCUUAUUCGUCUUGCUGAUAAAAAAAACAUUGCCAUGCAUAUGGUCACACAGCUAGGUGAGGUAGUUGAUGAACUCGACGGCGGUCGCAAUCGCACCUCCGGUGAUGGCAUCCUGGGCAAUCUUGUUCCCUUUGUUGUUGCUCACAGCAGAGAUCAGGGCGCCGCUUGUGAUGCCUCCAAUCAACGCAUUUUUCUACGGGGGUACCAGAAAAGAGAGAGAUGACUAAAUACUCUCAAGACUGACUGCAAACAUGCCAACAACAAUAUUGAUCAUAAAAUAGAUAAUAUUUUUAUGGUUAAGAUACCUAACCUGCUAGCACAAUAUUAGAGUUACAUAAUCUUAGGACAGGGUGUGGACACACAAGUGAAAACUAGCAUCAUGAUUUAUGAGAUGCAAUGAAUCGGAUUGAUUCUUCUCGUGCACUAAUUAGCAAAGAAUCUUAGUCAAACUGAAGAAAGGAUCUCCAUUGUCAAAUGGGCAGAGGCAGUCAUGCAGAUAGAUAUUCCUCCACCUUAGGUUCAGUUAAGUGCAGGAAACAUGAAAGAUCCAUUUUCAGAGAAUCAUUACCCAGUCAUACUGACCACGGACCCUUUCCACUCCAUACUCCAUGCCUACAUACACUCCAGCAACAGCACCUGCAGAUUAACAGAAGAAGCACCAGAAUGCGUCAGCGAACAUAAGAAGAAACGGAUGAGCGAUUGACACCAAUGCAUUCUUAUGAGCCAAAUAAAACAAUAAAGAAAUGUUCUUCUACUUAGUUACCCCAAUAUGCGCCCUCCUUGCACAUUUUCUUCAGCUGCAUAAAAGACCAGAAUACCAUAUUAGUACACUGUAGAUGACAGAUAGAUAGUUACCUUGACGCAAGUGCAGAAACAAGGCCACUGACUUUUCACUAAUCCACAAGUAGAGAGCAAUUAUGCAAAGUAGUGGUUCAAGGCCUUAGACUUUUAGUUCAGCUGUUUUUUUCUCCAUUUAUCAUACGAGGGUAUGUUCAAGGCACCCCUAUUGAACAAGUCUGAACUGUUGAACAUUUAGUCAGUUGCACAGUUGAAUAUAUCAUCUGCCUAUUAGGCCACUACUAUUAUACUAUUGUAAUACUGAUAGUGGCAAGACUCGGGACAAUUAAGUUAAGUGAGAGAAAAAACAAACGCAGUGGAAACCAGCACUUACUGUCUGCUCAAGAUUGCGCUUCGAGACACUCCCUGAAAAGCAAAAGAAAAUAAUUUGAUGUCACAUUUGUCUGCACAGCACCAACAAAAACUGAUGUAUGUCCCACUGUAUGCUGUUUCUACCUUCAAACUAAAAUCUGGGCGUUUCUACCUUCAUCAUUCAGAAAAGAAGAAAAAAAUCCUUAAUUUUCUCAGGGAAUGGAUCUAUCAGUUACCCUACACCGUCGCCCAAGCUAGGCGAUUUUCUGAGCGCAAAAGGAAAGAAACCGGCCGAAUCUGUGGGGCGGAAGAAAUCAGAGACGGGAUGCGUGGUUACCACUUUGGAGGCAGUCGAAGGCGUCCUCGGCGGCCACCCUGCAGGCGCCGACCUGCGCACAUUAUCCAAUCGCCGGAUCAGACACAUUGCAAUAUACAGACAUUGGAUGAAAGAUGAGGGAGCGUACGGCGCCGAUCUUGAGGAAGCCGUCGACGGUGCGGUUGAGGAGCGGGUUCCCGAGGUCGAUGGCGAUGUCCAACUUGUUCGACCCCGCCGACAACCCCGCGCGAGGCAUCCUUCCUGAACCUUCUCGGCCGACCUCCCUCCCUCCCCCUCUCUCUCUCUCGUCUAGCACUCGGCACACAGAUACAGAGCAAGAAGAUAGAUAGGCCACGUUAUCCCCAUUCGAGGGACCCAUCCAUUUGUAGGAAACUGUUGCACACAGAUACAAUGCUUUUCCAGAACGGAGAACCAGGUUUGGCCCAAAGCAAACUAGGUUUGUUAACAACAUGUUUAAAACAUCGGAACCACUAAUAAUAAAGAAAUUAAAACGUACAAGUUUCUUCCAAUCACUUUCCCUCUCAUCAAAGAACCUUUUGCUCCACCAAGCAAGUUUUGUCCGGAUUUUGUCCGUUUGGUAGGGCUAUGGGGCGGCGUCCGGCCGUUUUCCUCGAUGCGUUGACCGUGCACCCAACGCGCGGAUGCGUCAUUUGUAGUCAGGGUCGUCGGCCGCCGGCGUCGGGAGUGGCAUUUCGUCGAACGGGUUGCGGGUGCUGGGAAGGUUGGCCGUAGGAAUCGGUCGGGACUGCUUCCUUUGCGUCUCAUUGGAUGACUAGCCAGAGCCACUGUACCCAGGCAUGGCGUUGACGUUGAUGACAGACAUGGCGUCGGGGAUGGCCGGCACGAUCACGCUACCGUCCGCGCGAUGUGGAGAACCGGGUCUGAGCAUGCUGCCGCAGUGGAUGAAAACCGGGCAUCUCUAAUGUUAUGGAAUAGCUCGACGACUGGUACUGCGGAGGGCGAACGGCCGACAAGCUUAUAGGAUAAAUUCCUACCCUAUAGGAUAAAUUCCUACCAAACCGUCCAACAAUGUUUUUAAUAAUCCUAUCAACAAUAGGUCGCAGAUUUUCCCUCCUCGGUUUUCUUGUAAUGAAGAGGGACCCCCGGGUAGGGAAAAUCCCCUAUGUGACAGCAGAAAAUCUGAGCAAAGCAUUUUGACAUCUCUUCAUCCACAUGUAUGAUGUGGAGGUCACCCUUAUGGAUGUUAAUCUUUAAUCCAGAAGGUUUUUCAAAACAAGCAAGGAUCCAUUUCAAAUUUCUAGCAUAUUCAGCAGAAGCCUCUAAGAAAAGAAUGGUGUCAUCAACAUAUUGAAGGCUGACACCACCACCAAGGGACCACAUGCGGUAGAAGACUAGCUAUCAAUUUUUGAUUCAUAGCUUUAGCAAGCAUUUUAGAAAAUACAUCAUCCACCCAAUUAAAAAGCAAUGGAGAAAGAGGGUCGCCUUGUUCAACCCCUUCCCCCCUGCAAAGUGGGGUCCAUUGGUGUCAUUAAUCCUAGCACAAAAAUGAGCUUUGAUGCGGAGAACUACAAAUCCAAUUAAUCCAUUUUCCCCAAAGGCUCUAGAAGUGAGCAUUUCCACGAGGAAAUCCCAACUCACUUUAUCAUAGGCUUUGUGACAGUCUAGUUUCAGGACCAGACCAUUGGUGUCAGUCAUGUGAAUCUCAUGAAUCACUUCAUGCACCUUGACCACACUUUCUAAAAUGAAUCUACCAUUGAUAAAAACAAUCUGGUUACGAGAUAUCAAUCUGUCACAAAAUAGGAGAGACUCUAGUGGUCAUAGCUUUAGAGACAAUUUUAAGGACUAAAGUAAUAACUUAGACUAAUAGGUCCGGAGUUUUUCAUAUCUUUGGCAUUGGGAACUUUAGGGACUAAAGUAAUAAUAGCAAAAUCUAAACGUUAAAAAUCUAAGGUACCAGCUUCAAAAUCCCUCACCAACCACAUAAAAUAAUCUUUGAUCAAGUCCUAGAAAGUUUGAUAAAAUAAAGAGGCCAUCAGGUCCAGGAGCACCACUUGCAUAAGAACUCAUAAUGACAGUCUUUAUUUCUUCCUCAGAAAAGGGUUUUCCCCGUAAGGCAUUGUCUUCCAUAGUCAUUAAAUCAUUCUCAUUGCAGAAAGCAGAAUCCAUAUGGAUAUCAGGUUUUGGUUCUAAAGAGAAAAGGUCUUUACGAAAAGUAGUUGCAACAUUAAGCAUGUCAGAAGUAGAGGUAACAGACCCUGAGGUCCAUUCAAUUCUGAGAGGUGGUUUUUACGGUGUCUAUGAUUAGCCAAAGAACGAGAGUAGGCAUUAUUACGAUCUCCCUCAAGAAUUUUUCUAUCUUUGGAUAUCUGCCAUAAGGCACUCCUCUCUUUUUUCCAAAUCUUACUUAAUCCAGUCUUAAUAUCUUUCAUUCUUUCAUAGUCUGUAGUAGAAAGUGGGCUAGAUUCAGAAGGACAUCUAACAUAUUAAACUCCAGAAGGAGGGCCUUCUUUUUCUUCUUAAUGGUAGCCUCAAUAUUUAUACUGCAACCUUUAAUUUCCUUCCUAAGAACCCUAGUUCUGCAUUGUGAAUUAUCAACAGAAGAGGUAGUGUCAGAGACAGAAGUCCACACAUAUCAUGAACUAAUUGAACAAAACCAGGUUGAGAUAACCGUCAUUUCUCAAACCUAAACAUUUUAGGGCUAUUGAUCUUUCUAGCCCCGGUAUCAAACAUCAGGGGAGUAUGAUCACUGCCCACGGCCCACCCUUGAAAAGGUUACUCUCUCCGUCCCAUAAUGUAAGACGUUAGGACGUUACAUUACGGGAAGGAGGGAGUACAAGUGAAGAAAGAGGGGAAUGUGCAUCCUAGUUCUAUCAAUGACAGCAAAAAAAGGAUCAAUCUGAUUAUUGGAUCAGGUAAAGUUUCUAUUAGAGAUAGGACCAUCUCAUCUAAACAAAGGAUCAAUUUUGUUUUCUAUAAUCUUAACAGGGGUAAGUACAAAUGAAGGAAGUACUAAACAAAGGUCGAAUGUGUAUACUUUGACCACGUAACAGGGGUAAUUGUUAGCUUACACUUUUAGAGUUAAAUAAGUUGCAAAGCUUAGCAUUACAAUUUAUCAUUUAGUUUCGGGCUGUUCAUAAUAUCUACGGUAAUGAGGACAUAACCAUUUCGGAACAAAAAUAAUACAAAUACUCCCUACGUCCCGAAUUGCUAGAUAUCCGUUUAGGCGACGAGUAAUUCCAGACAGAGGAAGCACAAAGCAAGCAAAAUUUAACAUUGCCAUUUAUCAUUGAGUUUCAAAACAUAGUUUGAAAAGGACGACUAAACAAGUUUGCUUAAACGGUAAUGAGGACAUAAACAUUUCUGAAGAAAAAUAAUAGCACUAUCUGGGAAGGAAGGAGGAGUACACAAAAGUUUCUAUUAGAGAUAGGACCAUCUCAUCUAAACAAAGGAUCAAUUUUGUUUUCUAUAAUCUUAACAGGGGUAAGUACAAAUGAAGGAAGUACUAAACAAAGGUCGAAUGUGUAUACUUUGACCACGUAACAGGGGUAAUUGUUAGCUUACACUUUUAGAGUUAAAUAAGUUGCAAAGCUUAGCAUUACAAUUUAUCAUUUAGUUUCGGGCUGUUCAUAAUAUCUACGGUAAUGAGGACAUAACCAUUUCGGAACAAAAAUAAUACAAAUACUCCCUACGUCCCGAAUUGCUAGAUAUCCGUUUAGGCGACGAGUAAUUCCAGACAGAGGAAGCACAAAGCAAGCAAAAUUUAACAUUGCCAUUUAUCAUUGAGUUUCAAAACAUAGUUUGAAAAGGACGACUAAACAAGUUUGCUUAAACGGUAAUGAGGACAUAAACAUUUCUGAAGAAAAAUAAUAGCACUAUCUGGGAAGGAAGGAGGAGUACACAAAAGUUUCUAUUAGAGAUAGGACCAUCUCAUCUAAACAAAGGAUCAAUUUUGUUUUCUAUAAUCUUAACAGGGGUAAGUACAAAUGAAGGAAGUACUAAACAAAGGUCGAAUGUGUAUACUUUGACCACGUAACAGGGGUAAUUGUUAGCUUACACUUUUAGAGUUAAAUAAGUUGCAAAGCUUAGCAUUACAAUUUAUCAUUUAGUUUCGGGCUGUUCAUAAUAUCUACGGUAAUGAGGACAUAACCAUUUCGGAACAAAAAUAAUACAAAUACUCCCUACGUCCCGAAUUGCUAGAUAUCCGUUUAGGCGACGAGUAAUUCCAGACAGAGGAAGCACAAAGCAAGCAAAAUUUAACAUUGCCAUUUAUCAUUGAGUUUCAAAACAUAGUUUGAAAAGGACGACUAAACAAGUUUGCUUAAACGGUAAUGAGGACAUAAACAUUUCUGAAGAAAAAUAAUAGCACUAUCUGGGAAGGAAGGAGGAGUACACAAAAAAGAAGCGACUCCGCCGCUGGGGAUCGAACCCAGAAUCUCUGGUUUCGUAGACCAGCGCCUUAUCCAUUGGGCCACGGAGCCCUUGAAUGUAUGGAUGGAGCGUUGAGCUUGCUUAAUUAGACACCCGUGAGCGGAAUCACUGUGCGGCUAGUGAGGGCAUUUGUGUCAUUCCUGCCACGAUUUUGAAAGAACUAUGGUACCAAACUAGGCCAGCACAAAGGAUGCCAUAACUGAAGGAUGCAAACCACGAAGGAGAAUAAAUUAUUCAGAACAUGGACAUGAGAACGCAGGCAACAGAAAAUGGAAGAACAUUGGAGGAAACGGCUCCAAUUAUUAACACAGAGGGUGAUGGCUUGGCUUCAGUCAAGAAGUUCUUAUUCAGUCUUGUCCGAUAAAAACAUAGCUGCGAAUAUGGAUGGCCUCACAGCUAGGUGAGGUAGUUGAUGAACUCGACGGCGGUCGCGAUGGCGCCUCCGGUGAUGGCGUCCUGGGCGAUCUUGUUCCCUUUGUUGUUGCUCGCGGCAGAGACCAGGGCACCGGUUGCAAUGCCUCCUAGCAACGCAUUUUUCUGCGGGAGCACCGGAAAAGAGAGAGGGAUUAAUAAACAAUCUAAGACUGAC